GUACUCACUUCUGCAGCACAUGUACUAAAAUAUGACACAGAGAACAUCAGCAUGCCCCCUGCUCAAGGAUAACACACAAAUUUGUGAAGUAUUCCAUAUUAUA
ensembl:snRNA U6 U6 spliceosomal RNA